AAUAAAAAAAGCCUGCAGACAUUUGUCUGCAGGCACCUUUUUUGAUUUAAUUCUCAUCAAAUCAAAAAGGCAAAGGGAGAGGAGAAACCGGAGGAAGAACUUAUGGGGAACGUAAGUCUUCUCCGUCU
rfam:Pontibacillus chungwhensis BH030062 contig1, whole genome shotgun sequence.